rnacentral:rRNA from 1 species
UGGUGGAGCGAUUUGUCUGGUUAAUUUCGAUAACGAACGAGACUCUAGCCUAUUAAAUAGUUCGUUGAUCACGCAUGUCGGCGUAAACUUCUUAGAGGGACUAGUGGCGUUUAGCCACACGAGAUUGAGCAAUAACA